AGAUCCUGAGAGCAGAAGACAAUCAUAUGUCCUGAGAACCCACUGAAGGUUGAACGCUGCUGGGUGGAGAAAGGCAGAAAUGCAGAAUUUCAUCAUUGCCUGGAUGCUGCCUUCAUCCAGAGAGAAGAAGCAUAAGGAGUGGAGAACUGGAUGUUGAGACUUGCCCCCAAGAUCCCAAGGUCCCCAGGUACUGUGAGCAACCACUGGAGCUAGAAGACUGCUGCCUGAAGACGAGAAGAUGUGCAGGAUUGUCAUUGACUAUACUGUCACUUGUGGUUCCCAGGUCUUAAGAGAGGAUGCACAAGGAAGGGAGGACUCAUGGGAAGGAGGACAGUGGCGGUAUGAGUUUUGAAACCGUGUCCUCAUGGUGGCAGUAGAGCUCCACACAAGAGCUUGUGUGUGCUUCUCCCCCGCCCUUUGUGUCUGAAAAAACACCAAAGAUGGCGGUCCUGAGUUCUGGCCUACUUUGAGUAGUAUCAAGUGUAUUUUAUUUUUACUGAUGUGUGUUCCAUGUGAAGCCAAUCUGAGGCGUACUUCUACCCUAGGUCAUAGGACUCUUUUCAGUUGUGUAAGACUUUUCCCAUUUCUCUCUUUAUAAUUGUUUAUUUUUACCCGUUCAAGAUACUUAAUGGUCUUAAAAUUUGGUAUAAUUAAUUUUGUGUGGGUUUUACCUGAUAAAGAUAUGCUAGGAGA